rnacentral:rRNA from 1 species
CACAAGCGGUGGAGCAUGUGGUUUAAUUCGAUGCAACGCGAAGAACCUUACCAGGCCUUGACAUCCUGCGAACUUUCUAGAGAUAGAUUGGUGCCUUCGGGAGCGCAGUGACAGGUGCUGCAUGGCUGUCGUCAGCUCGUGUCGUGAGAUGUUGGGUUAAGUCCCGUAACGAGCGCAACCCUUGUCCUUAGUUGCCAGCGCGUAAUGGCGGGAACUCUAAGGAGACUGCCGGUGACAAACCGGAGGAAGGUGGGGAUGACGUCAAGUCCUCAUGGCCCUUAUGGGUAGGGCUUCACACGUCAUACAAUGGUCGGUACAGAGGGUAGCCAACCCGCGAGGGGGAGCCAAUCCCAGAAAACCGAUCGUAGUCCGGAUCGCAGUCUGCAACUCGACUGCGUGAAGUCGGAAUCGCUAGUAAUCGCGGAUCAGCAUGUCGCGGUGAAUACGUUCCCGGGUCUU